UGCUGAAAUAGAAAUUUUAUUAGAAAUAAAAAAAGAAAGACAAGAGUCAAAACAAAAGCAGUCUUAAACACCCGCGAGAAACCACGGGUAAACGAAAACAAACACCCAAACUAUGAGAAAAUAUUUAGAGAUUCAUCCUCAUCCAAAGAGUCGUCGUCAUCCAACAUAUCUCCCCAUCUUUUAGAAACCACCGCCGACAUAGCUCGAGCAGCGUCUGAAGAAGAAUGAAUCACAAAAUUUU
rnacentral:lncRNA from 1 species